rnacentral:rRNA from 1 species
AUGCACGCUGGCGGCGUGCUUAACCCAUGCAAGUCGAACGGAAAGGCCCAAGCUUGCUUGGGUACUCGAGUGGCGAACGGGUGAGUAACACGUGGGUGAUCUGCCCUGCACUUCGGGAUAAGCCUGGGAAACUGGGUCUAAUACCGGAUAGGACCACUUCUUGGAUGUUGUGGUGGAAAGUUUUUUCGGUGUGGGAUGAGCUCGCGGCCUAUCAGCUUGUUGGUGGGGUAAUGGCCUACCAAGGCGUCGACGGGUAGCCGGCCUGAGAGGGUGUACGGCCACAUUGGGACUGAGAUACGGCCCAGACUCCUACGGGAGGCAGCAGUGGGGAAUAUUGCACAAUGGGCGCAAGCCUGAUGCAGCGACGCCGCGUGGGGGGUGACGGCCUUCGGGUUGUAAACUCCUUUCGCUAGGGACGAAGCGUUUUGUGACGGUACCUGGAGAAGAAGCACCGGCUAACUACGUG